CCGUCCUGCUCGUGCCCCUGAAAAGUCCAAGGCACCUGCCGAGGGUGACUACGAGGAUAAAGCUUUUGACCCCGAGAGUUAGUGUUUGUCUUUCUGCUCAACUUUGAUUGCGGUUAAUUUUUGUUUCCCUAUUUUUCUGAUGUGUCUUGCUUUUGACAGAGUAUGAAAGAUCUGCCUAUCCCUUUGAGCCCAAUAACUUGGCUAGGAUGUUGGCUACCCUUGAGUAUAAGUCUGUUAUUCUUGGUAAACUUGUUGUUGAUAAGCUGGCGACCAAGGAGAAAGACAUGCUCAGCUAGAGCACAAAGAUGAUGCAGCUCGAGGCUAGGGUCGCAAGGCUCGAGGAAGAGAAUAAAAUUUUGUACAAUAUAAAGGAUGAGCUUUCCGAGGCUAACUCCGAGCUUGAAAGAAACAAGACAUUGCUCAUGAACACUUGCAGUGACCUCGCUCAACAAGUUGAGAGGUUGGAAAAGAGCUCCAAAGGAAAUCUUGGUGUUUUGGAGAAACUCCGAAACACCGUGGAAAAAGAUAUACAGGCCAUUGCAGAAAGGGACAAGGUGAUUCACACCCUUGGCCAAAAGUUUCAAGAACAGAAGACCUUUGUUGAGGAGGCGGAGCAGGCCCUUAAGAGGAGAUUUGCUGAGAUUUACGAGGGAUACAAGGCUGCUCUCAUGACAUUUGGUGCUGAGCCUCUUCCAUUCCCAAGCGAUGAAGGUGAGAAAGAAAUGUUCGAAUAGAUGGAUGAGGAGUUCAAGGGUCUACCUGAGGUUUUGACUGGGGUCAGCGACUUUUCCGUUUCCUUUUGUAUUGAAAGCACGUUUCAUCUUCUUGAAGAGAGUGGUUGUUCGCAUUUCUUAAAGUUCGCGGCUAGUACCCACAAGUUUCCCUUGGCCUUGGAGAUUCAUGCAAAGGAGAAGUCCAAGAAUGUGAGAGCCGUGAAGCUGAACUUUUACAAACAAAUUUGUGCUACUUUCGAGUGAGAACACGCGAGGCUCGUUGCUCAAAAGCAACUUCUGCAGACUAAGGAGGAGGAAUCCAAAGGCAAGGGCGGAGGCGGAAGCAAUGGCUUCGGGAGAAGGAUGCUUUUCACAGAUCAACUUGCUCGAGGCCUAACUGAGAAUUUGCAUUGUUGACCAUAGUCUUUUGUAAUGAUACAUUUAACACUUUGAUGGGAUGCUUUUGCGGACCGUGAUGUAAAUAUUAGUUGUUUGGUUGGUGCCAAGUGCUUCGAACUAGUUGCCUUUAAUAUUUGAAUGCUUUA